AUUCUCCAACAAGAACACGAGCUUGGAGAAUUGAUAUUGGAGAUCUCGCGCGCGCGUGAUGAUAAUACAAAACUCUGAUUUCAGAAUUACCAAUGCUGAAAAAUAAAUUCUCGGUCGUCUCUACAUAUAAAUAAAUGCCUUCACUUUAAACAAAACUGUGCAGACAACAGGACAUUUCUUUCCAAAUAAAGUAAUAUUUUUAACUAAAACAUUUUUUCUAUAAAUAUAUAUUUUACGUUUAGAGAAAUAAAUUAAUUUGAUAUAAAACACAAGAAAGAAUUUGUUUGUAUCAGAAUUACAUUUAUAUAUAAAUAGUACAAUUUUGUUUAUAUGUGCAACAUUACCUAUUUAAUCAUAGAAAAUCGACAGAUGAAAUAUUAAUAUAUCUAAAUAUAAAUACGUAACAAAAAAGAGAAAUGUGUAUUAUUAAAAUGUAAAAUAUGUACCACAUAGAAUGCCGAAUUCUUUGCUAAUAAUCUGUUAUGUGGGAUAAUGAAUCAUGCGAAUAUAAUUGUUUGUACAAACUAAACUGAUGUUUUAACUUCUAACAUUAUAUUAAUUUAUAUGUUAUUUUAAUAGCAACCUAACAAAUUUUAAACAAUAGAUAGUGCUUUUCUAAAAAAUAUUUAAAAGUUUGUAUAUGCUGUUUAAUUCAAAACGAACAUAAGAACAAGUAUAGAGAAAGUGGAAAGGAUUAUCAUUAAUGUGCUAAUUGUGCUAACAAUAAGUAAACAAAAGCCUCGAGGCUUGUCCAGGUUUGCUCGCUCGAGAAUAAAAAAUUCGACGAUACUUAAGCGUAAGAAUGAGGUACGAUAUAUAAGCAAAUUUACAAGAUAGAAGCAUUAUCGACUCUAAAGAAUAUAACUAAAUAAAUUUUGACGGGUACAAUGAUGUUUAAUCUUUCAUUAUUUACAAAAGUUGCACAAAUGUACAUAAUGGUGCAAUUACAUUGACACUGCUAAACUCUAAGUGAGCAAUACAUAAUGUUAGGCAAAACAUAUAAACUCGAAAUGUAAAAUGCAUUAGCAAUUAUAAAAUAAUAAAUUUUUUUAGCAAUAAUACAUGAUAUUUAUAUUAUGAAACAUUUUAAUUAAAAUGUCACUUAUCUCAUAUAGUUUUUUACAUUAAAGCUAUACACAAAGAUUUCAUAUAUUGCUUCUAUCUUGUUUCUUUCAGAAAAUAAUGUACAUUAUGUGUGUAGAGUUUGAAAUUUUUAUUAUAUGCAUCCCCCUUUUAUCUCUUGAUAAGUAUACAUAUGUUUAUGCUAAUGCAUGUUUCAUUAUUCAUAUACAUGUAAAUAGUUCUACCUAUUUCUAAUUAACAGCAGAAAUUUAUUAUAUAUCUUUGAAAUAUGUAUGUAUAUUGUAUCAAUAUAUGAUGCGUCUAUAUAAAAUGCAAGAUUUUCAAUUUAACAAUUAUUAAAUAAUUUUUAGAUGUUGUGUUUUCGAGCGUUCCACUAAAUAAUAAAUAUAUGCUUGUGUGUACUUUGAAACUACUUUGACAAUAUAUUCGAAGGUUUUAUAACAUUAUACAUCAAUAUUCUAUUUUUUGUAAAUAUUAUAAUAAAAUUAGAUGAAUUUUACCAUAGCUUUUUGUAUAAUUAUGAUUAUAAUUAAUAUAUUAUAAAAAUGAAUUACAAAAAUAUUAAAUAAUGUAAAAAGAAUGUACAGAAAAAUCUAUAUAUAAUCAAAUCUAUGUCAAAUUGUUGCAGUAUUCCAACUAUAAAUAUAUCUCUCGUAUUUUCUAUCCACUUCCGUUUUUUCCUGUUGGAUAUUUAUUUCCAUAAGCGAAAAAUAUCAAUUAGAUUAGAUUAAACAACACUACAUUAUUGCGGAAAUCAUAUACAUUUUUAGAGAGUUUCAUAUUGGGAAAGAAUAUACAUAUAUCACAUGUCUGUUAAUAAUAUCCCUAAUUCAAACUAUGUACAAGGUGUGAAUUUAGAUAACAGCAACCAUAUUUCAAAGUAAAAAUAAAUACGAGAUAGAAAAAAUCAGAGAAAAAGAAAUGAAUAAGUAUAAAAAAAAGGAGAAAAUCGUAAGUAAUGUAUAUAAAUUAGAUGUAUAUUGAAUUUGUUACUUUGAUACUUUGGCAGUGCAAGAGUAACAAAUGAUAUCAUAUUUUAUCGUAAUUCCUUUACUAUAAAAUGUACGGAAAAAGCAAAACAGUUUUUAUAAAGAAACAUGAAAAAAUUAUUUCAAUAAAUAUAAUUAUAUACAUUCAAAAUAUCAUAUACAAUACUUGCUCUUUGCUAUAAAAAAAAAAAAAA